UACGUAGGCAGCGAGCGUUGUUCGGAGUUACUGGGCGUAAAGCGUGCGUAGGCGGUGUCUUAAGUUUGUUGUGAAAUCUCCCGGCUUAACCGGGAGGGUGCGGCGAAUACUGAGAUGCUGGAGUGCCGGAGAGGUAAGCGGAAUUCCUGGUGUAGCGGUGAAAUGCGUAGAUAUCAGGAGGAACACCGGUGGUGUAGACGGCUUACUGGACCAUAACUGACGCUGAGACACGAAAGCGUGGGUAGCAAACAGG
rnacentral:rRNA from 1 species